rnacentral:rRNA from 1 species
GCCUGGUAGCGGGGGAUAACUAUUGGAAACGAUAGCUAAUACCGCAUAACAGUAGAUGUUGCAUGACAUUUGCUUAAAAGGUGCAAUUGCAUCACUACCAGAUGGACCUGCGUUGUAUUAGCUAGUUGGUGGGGUAACGGCUCACCAAGGCGACGAUACAUAGCCGACCUGAGAGGGUGAUCGGCCACACUGGGACUGAGACACGGCCCAG